UUUAAUGACCUGCACAUUUGAUUAACAAAUGCAUUGGGGAAAGCAAAAAGUUAUCAAGUUCAUUUAACGUGAUUCAAUCAAAUGAAUCCUCAGUUACAAAUGUAAUUGGCAGGCUCUAUUACAUUCAUAACUCAAGGAUUAUCUUUAUA